rnacentral:rRNA from 1 species
UGGGGAAUCUUGCGCAAUGCGCGAAAGCGUGACGCAGCAACGCCGCGUGGGGGAAGAAGGCCUUCGGGUUGUAAACCCCUUUCAGGAGGGACGAAGGUACGGCGGUGAAUAGCCGUCCGUACUGACGGUACCUCCAGAAGAAGCCCCGGCUAACUACGUGCCAGCAGCCGCGGUAAUACGUAGGGGGCAAGCGUUGUCCGGAAUCAUUGGGCGUAAAGCGCGCGUAGGCGGCCCGGUAAGUCCGCUCUGAAAGUCCAGGGCUCAACCCUGGAAAGCGGGUGGAUACUGCCGGGCUAGAGUCCGGAAGAGGCGAGUGGAAUUCCUGGUGUAGCGGUGGAAUGCGCAGAUAUCAGGAGGAACACCAAUAGCGAAGGCAGCUCGCUGGGACGGUACUGACGCUAAGGCGCGAAAGCGUGGGGAGCGAACAGGAUUAGAUACCCUGGUAGUCCACGCCGUAAACGAUGGGCACUAGUGUGGGAGGUGUCGACUCC